UCUUCAUCUCUUCGAUCUCUUCUUCGUCUAUGGUUUCCAGUUUCCAGGUUUCUUCAUCACAGUCAGUCAUCGUACUUCAGUUAUAUGGUUUUCGCUCUCGAUCCCAUUUUAAAUUUCUCUCUUUGGUUAUUGGACUAAGUAACUGAAAAUUUACAGUGCAGUAGAGCUAAAUCGCCGCUUCGAGAUACUGAUGGUAUCGGCGGUGUGGGAGAAGCGUUAUGCUAUUUGAUGCUUUAUAUGUACGACAGAUGAUUAAAUUGAUACGGGGUAAUCUCGAACAAAAGUUUUUUUACAUCUUUCCAAAAUCGGCUAUCACUUUGAAGCGCUUUAAGAGGUGCUUAUCCGAAGUUAAUCUACCGGCUGAGAUCUCUGAUUCAUUUAUUGGUGAAGAAUCCCGAUCAAAGAUGUUUGUACGGGGAGUAGACGUCAUCGUCUUGAUUGAAUUAUGAUAUACCUUUAGAUUGUUUCAUAAUACUCAAGUUUUAAUCUUGAUGGUGCGUGAUAAUCUGGCAACUGAAUGUGCCCGCUUCGUCUUUUGAUUUCUUCCUCUUUCUGUUUAUGUUUUGGAACACUUCCUACGUUUCUCAUAUUUGUGUUUGUUUGAUAGGUUUUUUGUGUCUGAAACGAUCCUCAAGUCAAGAUUGUUGUUGAUUCUGAAAGAUCCGUGAUUUAAUUUAACUUUUGCUCGAAUGCGAUUUAGCUUUUGUGAUGUUUCCAAGAGGCUGUCAAAUAGUAGAGACUCGGGCUACACAGAUAACUAAACCCGUCUUGAAUUGCCAAGACACCAUGAUUUUGUUCAGAAACUUAUUUCUUGUCUCAUGAUCACAGCUCUGCUGCAGCCUGCAAUGGGUUAUGUAAACAUGGAGAAGAGAUGGGUCUUCUCUCUCGUCAUCACAUUUCUUAACUGGUUUUCUCUCUUUUUUAACAAGAAGGUGAUAGGCUUAGAGGAAUUAAGGUAAAUAGCAAUUCAAGGUCUACAUGAUAAUGCUGGUAUUCGCUAUGUUGUCUCAAAGGUAAUAAACUCGCAUGCUUCCAGUUGAGUUCUUCUGUUUUUGGAUCAUUAUUGUUAUGUGUGCUAUUAGUAAUGCUAUAUUUUCUAACUUCAUGAAUUAUCGGGAACUUUCAGUUUCCAGUUUCUGUACUUUGCUUUUGAGAAUAUAAUUUAAGAAAGAUGUAUAGAAAUGGAUUUGAGUUACUUGCUUGGUCAAUGCUUGCUUUAUAUUAUUCUCUUGGAUAUAGGCUACAUCAUGUAGCAGCUUUUACUGAGCUACCUGUCACUGGAUCACUCCAUCUGGUUUUCAGAGUUAGCUAAGAAAAGGCCAUAGUACAAUCAAAAUUCAAAGAGGAACUUCUGGUAAACCCUGUAAGUUUUUUUUUGGGUGAUUUGAUACUCGAACAUUUUAUUGAUGGGGUUUGUGAAGAGAAAGAUUAUAAAUUUAAUUGGUGUAUGUUUUGCUCAUCCCUUGCAGAAAUAUUUCAUCAAAAUUCUGAUGAGAUUGGAUACUGUUCUUGUAAAAUGAUAGGUAGCUAGGUUUAUUGAAUAGGCUUUGUCGCAUUUUUGCUUACAUGAGUGAACAAAGCAAUGAAUUAGACAGUAACAUGUGUGACUCUCAUUAGCUAAUAUGUUGACCAAGUAGAAUGCACUGAUGCUCGACGGGGAUCCAUUCUUUCCAAUAAUUUUGAACCAGAAGCUUACAUGUCUUAGUAGAAGUGACCCUCUCUUGUUUCAGCUAAAGUAUUUUUUGUGGAAAACUCAUAACAACACUUACAUGUCAUAUGUCCUCCCACCAGAGUUAAAGGAGACUCAAGGGACGUGCCUCUGAUUUUGGCCUCACAAAGAAGCUUUUGCCUAUUUUUUGCAGUAAUCUAUUUCCCUUUCAAAUAUAGGAUUUGAAGACAAAGUUAUCUUGUCUACAACAAACUGCAAUUCAGUUAGAGCAAAACACUUUUGUUGGACGAAUUAGGGAGCUUGCUUCCUAAAUCCAAAGGUUACAAUCUUCCUAACGAAAAAGAGGAUUAUGAUCUACAAGUGACGUGUAUAAUGAAUAUUUUUGUGCUAGAGGAUUAACUAAAUGAAGCUGGCUAAAUAUUGAUAAAGGCAGCCUUCCACCGUGGAUCUUUCUUAUAUUUGUAUAACGUCUCUAAGAUGUUUGUCUAUUAGUGGUGCUACAAUUUUUAAUGAGAGAAGUCACUUUGAAGUGGAAAGGGUUUUGUGAAACAAAGUUUCUAAAGAAGUUCGUUAUUGUUUAGGGCUCUAACUCAGCAUGAGUACGAGACCUAUGCUAACUCAAUUGUUGUUAAUUUAAGUCAAUUUUAUGCUAAUAAUAUUAACUGUUAGGUCUUUUGUAAACC